AGUCGUAACAAGGUUUCCGUAGGUGAACCUGCGGAAGGAUCAUUAUAGAAUUAUAAGCGAGGGUUGUCGCUGGCCUUUCGGGGCAUGUGCACGCCCGAGCUCUUAAAUCCACAACACACCUGUGAACCCACCGUAGGCCUUCGGGCUUAUGCAUUUAUACUCUGUAUGUGUCAUAGAAUGUCAUGUUGCAUUAAAAACGCAAUUAAAUACAACUUUCAACAACGGAUCUCUUGGCUCUCGCAUCGAUGAAGAACGCAGCGAAAUGCGAUAAGUAAUGUGAAUUGCAGAUUUUCAGUGAAUCAUCGAAUCUUUGAACGCACCUUGCGCUCCUUGGUAUUCCGAGGAGCAUGCCUGUUUGAGUGUCAUUAAAUCAUCAACCCCACCGAUUUGUUUUGGCUUGGGGGCUUGGACUUGGAGCGUGCUGGCGAAGGUCGGCUCCUCUUUAAAUGCAUCAGCGGAAGAACGCACCUUUUUUCCCUUCAGCGUGAUAAAUCCUGUUGCGCUGUGUGUGGGUCAAAGGUGUUCCGCUUAUAAUUGUCCUUCGGACAAACGAACCCAUCUAUUUUUGACCUCAAAUCAGGUAGGACUACCCGCUGAACUUAAGCAUAUCAAUAAGCGGAGGAAAAGAAACUAACAAGGAUUCCCCUAGUAACUGCGAGUGAAGCGGGAAAAGCUCAAAUUUAAAAUCUGGCGGUCCCCUGGCCGUCCGAGUUGUAAUCUGGAGAAGCGUUUUCCGCGUUGGACCGCGUACAAGUCUUCUGGAACGGAGCGUCGUAGAGGGUGAGAAACCCGUCUCUGACACGGACUGCCAAUGCUUUUGUGAUACGCUCUCGGAGAGUCGAGUUGUUUGGGAAUGCAGCUCAAAAUGGGUGGUAAAUUCCAUCUAAAGCUAAAUAUUGGUGAGAGACCGAUAGCGAACAAGUACCGUGAGGGAAAGAUGAAAAGCACUUUGGAAAGAGAGUUAAACAGUACGUGAAAUUGUUGAAAGGGAAACGUUUGAAGUCAGUCGCGUUGGCCAAGACUCAACCUUGCUAUCUUGCUGGGUGCACUUCUCGGUCGACGGGUCAGCAUCAAUUUUGACCGUCGGAUAAAGGCUGAGGGAACGUGGCAUCCUUCGGGGUGUGUUAUAGCCCUCGGUUCGCAUACGACGAUUGGGAUUGAGGAACUCAGCACGCCUUCAUUGGUCGGGGUAUCUACCCACGUUAACGUGCUUAGGAUGCUGGCAUAAUGGCUUUAAGCGACC
rnacentral:rRNA from 1 species